UACGUAGGGUGCGAGCGUUGUCCGGAAUUAUUGGGCGUAAAGGGCUCAUAGGCGGUUUGUCGCGUCGGGAGUGAAAACCCAGGGCUUAACCCUGGGCUGGCUUUCGAUACGGGCAGACUAGAGGUAUGCAGGGGAGAACGGAAUUCCUGGUGUAGCGGUGAAAUGCGCAGAUAUCGGGAGGAACACCAGUGGCGAAGGCGACUACCUGGCCUGUUCUUGACGCUGAGGCGCGAAAGCUAGGGGAGCAAACGGG
rnacentral:rRNA from 1 species